rnacentral:rRNA from 1 species
UACGUAGGGUGCGAGCGUUGCCCGGAUUUAUUGGGCGUAAAGGGCGCGUAGGCGGUCACGCACGUCCGUUGUGAAAUCGCUCGGCUCAACUGGGCGGGGUCAGCGGAUACGGCGUGGCUGGAGCAAGCUAGGGGGCAAUGGAAUUCCCGGUGUAGUGGUGGAAUGCGUAGAUAUCGGGAGGAACACCAGUGGCGAAGGCGG